AAUGAACGCUGGCGGCGCGCCUAAUAUAUGCAAGUCGAGCGAGAAGACGUAGCAAUACGUUUGUAAAGCGGCGAACGGGUGAGGAAUACAUGGGUAACCUACCCUAGAGUGGGGAAUAACUAGCCGAAAGGUUAGCUAAUACCGCGUACGCUCCUUGGACUUCGGUUCAGGGAGGAGAGCGAUACCGAGGGUAUCGCGCUCUUGGAUGGGCUCAUGUCCUAUCAGCUUGNGGUGAGGUAACGGCUCACCAAGGCUUCGACGGGUAGCUGGUCUGAGAGGACGAUCAGCCACACUGGCACUGCGACACGGGCCAGACUCCUACGGGAGGCAGCAGUAAGGAAUAUUGCGCAAUGGGCGAAAGCCUGACGCAGCGACGCCGCGUGGGGGAUGAAGGUCUUCGGAUUGUAAACCCCUUUCGGGUAGGGAAGAUGGAACGAGCAAUCGUUCGGACGGUACCUCCAGAAGCAG
rnacentral:rRNA from 1 species